rnacentral:rRNA from 1 species
UACGAAGGGGGCAAGCGUUGUCCGGAAUCAUUGGGCGUAAAGCGCGUGUAGGCGGUUGGGUAAGUCUACUGUGAAAGCCCUGGGCUCAACCUGGGAAUUGCAGUGGAUACUGGGCGACUAGAGUGUGGUAGAGGAUAGUGGAAUUUCCGGUGUAGCGGUGAAAUGCGUAGAGAUCGGAAGGAACAUCUAUGGCGAAGGCGGCUAGCUGGGACGACACUGACGCUGAGGCGCGAAAGCGUGGGGAGCAAACAGG